rnacentral:rRNA from 1 species
GUGAGGAAUAUUGCGCAAUGGAGGCAACUCUGACGCAGCCAUGCCGCGUGCAGGAAGAAGGCGCUACGCGUUGUAAACUGCUUUUAACCGGGAAGAAACCCCAGGACGUGUCCUGGGUUGACGGUACCGGAGGAAUAAGCACCGGCUAACUUCGUGCCAGCAGCCGCGGUAAUACGAAGGGUGCAAGCGUUAUCCGGAUUCAUUGGGUUUAAAGGGUGCGUAGGCGGAGCGUUAAGUCAGUGGUGAAAUCCUGCAGCUUAACUGUAGACUUGCCAUUGAUACUGGCGCUCUUGAGUGCGCUUGAAGUGGGCGGAAUGUGCCGUGUAGCGGUGAAAUGCUUAGAUAUGGCACAGAACACCAAUUGCAAAGGCAGCUCACUAAGGCGAUACUGACGCUGAGGCACGAAAGCGUGGGGAUCGAACAGGAUUAGAAACCCGGGUAGUCC